GAUGAACGCUGACAGAAUGCUUAACACAUGCAAGUCAACUUGAACUUCGGUUUGGGUGGCGGACGGGUGAGUAACGCGUAAAGAACUUGCCUCACAGUUAGGGACAACAUUUGGAAACGAAUGCUAAUACCUGAUAUUAUGAUUUUAGGGCAUCCUAGAAUUAUGAAAGCUAUAUGCGCUGUGAGAGAGCUUUGCGUCCCAUUAGCUAGUUGGAGAGGUAACGGCUCACCAAGGCGAUGAUGGGUAGCCGGCCUGAGAGGGUGAUCGGCCACAAGGGGACUGAGACACGGCCCUUACUCCUACGGGAGGCAGCAGUGGGGAAUAUUGGACAAUGGACCAAGAGUCUGAUCCAGCAAUUCUGUGUGCACGAUGAAGUUUUUCGGAAUGUAAAGUGCUUUCAGUUGGGAAGAAAAAAAUGACGGUACCAACAGAAGAAGUGACGGCUAAAUACGUGCCAGCAGCCGCGGUAAUACGUAUGUCACAAGCGUUAUCCGGAUUUAUUGGGCGUAAAGCGCGUCUAGGUGGUUAUGUAAGUCUGAUGUGAAAAUGCAGGGCUCAACUCUGUAUUGCGUUGGAAACUGUGUAACUAGAGUACUGGAGAGGUAAGCGGAACUACAAGUGUAGAGGUGAAAUUCGUAGAUAUUUGUAGGAAUGCCGAUGGGGAAGCCAGCUUACUGGACAGAUGCUGACGCUGAAGCGCGAAAGCGUGGGGAGCGAACAGG
rnacentral:rRNA from 1 species